AUGCUGCUCUUUGCACUUUCUCUCCUAGAGACAGUUUUAGGUGAAGUCUCAACACAGAACAUUAAGCCACUUGAGAGAAUAAAGCAUGUGUCAGAGGGUGAUCCUGUUACUCUGUCUUGCAGUUUCAGUACGAUUGGUGGUGAUUAUCUUCAGUGGUAUCGCCAGUAUCCCUCAUCUAGACCAGAAUUCCUCUUGUUGACGACUGAUUCUGAUCCUCGUCUAUCUGCUCACGUUCAUAAGAGUGUCAAGCGUGUGGAUCUGCUGAUCUCCUCUGCUGCAGUAUCAGACUCUGCACUGUACUACUGUGCCCUG